rnacentral:tRNA from 1 species
GGGGAUAUGGCGAAAUUGGUAGACGCAUCGGACUUAAAAUCCGAGGGCCCUUGGGCCAUCCGGGUUCAAGUCCCGGUAUCCCUACCA